GACGAACGCUGGCGGCGUGCUUAACACAUGCAAGUCGAACGAUGAAGCCGGAGCUUGCUCUGGUGAAUUAGUGGCGAACGGGUGAGUAACACGUGAGUAACCUGCCCUUGACUCUGGGAUAACUGCGGGGAACUGUAGCUAAUACCGGAUACGACCCUCGGAGGCAUCUCCUGGGGGUGGAAAGAAUUUCGGUCAAGGAUGGACUCGCGGCCUAUCAGCUAGUUGGUGAGGUAAACGCUCACCAAGGCGACGACGGGUAGGCGGCCUGAGAGGGUGACCGGCCACACUGGGACUGAGACACGGCCCAGACUCCUACGGGAGGCAGGAGUGGGGAAUAUUGCACAAUGGGAGCAGGCCUGAUGCAGCAACGCCGCGUGAGGGAUGACGGCCUUCGGGUUGUAAACCUCUUUUAGCAGGGAAGAAGCGAAAGUGACGGUACCUGCAGAAAAAGUACCGGCUAACUACGUGCCAGCCGCCGCAGUAA
rnacentral:rRNA from 1 species